GACGAACGCUGGCGGCGUGCUUAACACAUGCAAGUCGAACGGAAAGGCCCUGCUUUUGUGGGGUGCUCGAGUGGCGAACGGGUGAGUAACACGUGAGUAACCUGCCCUUGACUUUGGGAUAACUUCAGGAAACUGGGGCUAAUACCGGAUAGGAGCUCCUGCUGCUUGGUGGGGGUUGGAAAGUUUCGGCGGUUGGGGAUGGACUCGCGGCUUAUCAGCUUGUUGGUGGGGUAGUGGCUUACCAAGGCUUUGACGGGUAGCCGGCCUGAGAGGGUGACCGGCCCCAUUAGGACGGAGAUACGGCCCAGACUCAUACGGGACGCAGCGGUGGGGAAUAGUGCACAAUGGGCGGAAGCCUGAUGUAGCAACGCCGCGUGCGGGAUAACGGCCUUCGGGUUGUAAUCCGCUUUCGCCUGUGACGAAGCGUGAGUGACGGUAAUGGGUAAAGAAGCACCGGCUAACUACGUG
rnacentral:rRNA from 1 species